rnacentral:lncRNA from 1 species
ACUGCAGAGGAUCCAUUGGUGAACAAGUGAUAAUAAGGCUAAAUUUGUCCAAAUCUGUUCCAAUAAAGAAACAAACUCAUCUCCUGGCCUGACGGUCCUGCAUUUGCUGCUUGCGCUCUUCGUUCUCACGCAGCCAGUAGGAGACCUCAUCUGUACAGCGGAACAUGUCCGGACACCUCUGCUCCUCCAGAUGAGAUUCUUCAACAGUCUCUUUGGUUUUGACAACAGGGAAUUGGACCCAUG